rnacentral:rRNA from 1 species
GUUGAUCCUGCGGGAGGUUGCUGCUAUGGGGAUUCGAUUAAGCCAUGCAAGUCUUCUCGCAAGAGAGGCGACAUGCUCAGUAACACGUCGUUAACGUGCCCUCUGGUCAGGGAUACCUACGGGAAACUGUGGUUAAUACCUGAUAGGAGAUGCAGCCUGGAAUGGCGCAUCUUUUCAAACUCGUGCCAGAGGAUCGGACGGCGGCGGAUUAGGUAGUUGGCGGUGUAACGGACCACCAAGCCAGAGAUCCGUACGGGCCAUGAGAGUGGUAGCCCGGAGAGGGACACUGAGAUACUGGUCCCAGCCCUACGGGGUGCAGCAGGCGCGAAACCUUUCCAAUGCACGCAAGUGUGAGAAGGGAAUCCCCAGUGCUCAUGGUUUCCAUGGGCUUUUGCCAAGUGUAAAUAGCUUGGAGAAUAAGUGGUGGGUAAGACUGGUGCCAGCCGCCGCGGUAACCCCAGCGCCACGAGUGGCAACCGCGUUUAUUGGGCCUAAAGCGUCCGUAGCCGGUCCUGUACAUCCUUUGUGAAAUUGUCCGGCUUAACCGGACAGCGCGCAAGGGACACGGCAGGGCUUGAGACCGGGAGGAGUCAGAAGUAUUCCUGAGGGAGCGGUAAAAUGUUAUAAUCUCAGGAGGACUACCUGUGGCGAAGGCGUCUGACCAGAACGGAUCUGACGGUGAGGGACGAAAGCUAGGGGAGCGAACCGGAUUAGAUACCCGAGUAGUCCUAGCCGUAAACGCUGUGAGCUAGGUGUUGCGUCAACUACAUGUUGGCGCAGUGUCGAAAGGAAGCUGUUAAGCUCACCGCCUGGGAAGUACGGUCGCAAGACUGAAACUUUAAGGAAUUGGCGGGGGAGCACCACAAGGGGUGCGGCGUGCGGUUUAAUCCAACUCAACGCGGAGAACCUUACUAGAAGCGACGGCAGGAUGAAGGCCAGCUUGAAGAGUUUGCCUGACGAGCCGAGAGGUGGUGCAUGGCCGUCGUCAGCUCGUGCUGUGAAGUGUCCAGCUAAGCCUGGCAACGAGCGAGACCUGUAUCCGCAAUUGCUAACAGCGACAUGUCGGACUGAGCACUUUGCGGAGACUGCCCGGGAAACCGGGAGGAAGGUGCAGGCUACGGUAGGUCUGUAUGCCCCGAAUCUUCUAGGCUACACGCGCGCAACAAUGGUAGGGACAAUGGGAUGCAACUCCGAAAGGAGAAGCUAAACCUCUAAACCCUAUCCAAGUCCAGAUUGAGGGUUGCAACUCACCCUCAUGACGUCGGAAUCCCUAGUAAUCAGAAGUCAUCAUCUUCUGGUGAAUAUGUCCCUGCUCCUUGCACACACCGCCCGUCAAAUCAACCGAGCAGGGUUUAGGUAAAGCCCGGUUUCUUGAUCGUGCUGAAUCUAAGCUCAGUGAGGUGGGUUAAGUCGUCACAAGGUA